UACGAAGGGGGCUAGCGUUGCUCGGAAUCACUGGGCGUAAAGGGUGCGUAGGCGGGUCUUUAAGUCAGGGGUGAAAUCCUGGAGCUCAACUCCAGAACUGCCUUUGAUACUGAGGAUCUUGAGUUCGGGAGAGGUGAGUGGAACUGCGAGUGUAGAGGUGAAAUUCGUAGAUAUUCGCAAGAACACCAGUGGCGAAGGCGGGUCUCUGGGCCGAAACUGACGCUGAGGAGCGAAAGCGUGGGGAGCAAACAGG
rnacentral:rRNA from 1 species